UGAGGGCAGAGGAAGUAAAACUCCAGCCGGGUGGAUAAUCACUCAGCAGUGUAAGGUGUUGCCUUCCUUGAGGCUGUUGGCCCAGGCUGCGGGAUGGCAGCCUGCUCUGCCUUGGCGCUGUCCAGUGAUACCAGCUUUUUUGGUUGAGAAGCUCUUUCUAUCAAGUGUGGGGUUUACGAUGGAAGAUCCCAGGCCUUGGCCUGGAAUAGGCUGGGAAGCAAGCUCUGGAUUGGGGUGAAGACGAACAGUGUGAGCAGAUGGC